rnacentral:rRNA from 1 species
GUAGGUGGCAAGCGUUGUCCGGAAUUAUUGGGCGUAAAGCGCGCGCAGGUGGUUCUUUAAGUCUGAUGUGAAAGACCCCCGGGCUCAACCGGGGAGGGUCAUUGGAAACUGGGGAACUUGAGUGCAGGAGAGGAAAGUGGAAUUCCACGUGUAGCGGUGAAAUGCGUAGAUAUGUGGAGGAACACCAGUGGCGAAGGCGACUUUCUGGCCUGUAACUGACACUGAGGCGCGAAAGCGUGGGGAGCAAACUAGGAUUAGAUACCCUGGUAGUCCACGCCGUAAACGAUGAGUGCUAAGUGUUGGGGGGUUUCCGCCCCUCAGUGCUGCAGCUAACGCAUUAAGCACUCCGCCUGGGGAGUACGGUCGCAAAGACUG